rnacentral:rRNA from 1 species
AUUGAACGCUGGCGGCGUGCCUAACACAUGCAAGUCGAGCGGUAACAGGUGUAGCAAUACAUGCUGACGAGCGGCGAACGGGUGAGUAAUGCUUCGGAAUCUACCCAAUGGUGGGGAAUAACCAGCCGAAAGGUUGGCUAAUACCGCAUACGUCCCACGGGAGAAAGCAGGGGAUCGCAAGACCUUGCGCCAAUGGAUGAGCCGAAGUCGGAUUAGCUAGUUGGAGGGUAACGGCCUACCAAGGCGACGAUCCGUAGCUGGUCUGAGAGGACGACCAGCCACACUGGGACUGAGACACGGCCACGAC